UGAGGAAACAAACGUGAUGCCUGGCC
rnacentral:piRNA from 1 species